ensembl:lncRNA
CUUAGAUGCUGCUGAGGCAAGUGGAGAGAGCGUGGAACAGCCAUUAUUUGUCAGUGGUGAAGUGUUGAAAGCUUUGAAAGAAAUUCCCACCUUAGUGCAGUGUGUCAAGGAACUAAUAUCCUCAGUGAACAGAGGGAUCGAUACAGCAAGCACAAGCUCAGGGUCCUCCAGCUCAGCCCAAGAGAUGAUUUCUCUGGGCAACAUGGCUGUCCAAGUCAACAAAACCUGCUUUAGGAGAUUGAAUAGGAGCAGAAUGUCCCUGUUCACUCAAGAGUUAGCUGUUUUGUUGUUUGGGAGGGAGGUUCUGGGUUCAUCUAGCCUCACUGGGAAUAGGUCCCAAAAAGAAAGGCUGAACCCAGAAAAAAUGAAUGCACUUAUCGACACUGUCAUAUCUGAGUUUCGGGCACGUCACAGUCCGAGGUUAGAGCCGUAAUACGGCGAAAGUGCAAUAACGAAAGUUUUGUUUCAAAAAAAAAAAACACUGUAAAGGUAAUUUUUUGUUGUUGUUGGGAAAGGAAUGUGAAAGUAAAGAAGAAAUUUGUGUUUUGUUCAUAUAAGAUACGUACAGUAAUCUGUAGUUUAAUCAUUUUAUUAAAGGGUUAGUUCACCCAAAAAUCGAAAAGUUCUUUGUAUUUAGUCACCCGCGUGUUGUUCUAAACCCUUAAGACUUCCAUUAACCAUCGCAUCACAAAAUAUUAUAUUUAUGAUGGAAUCUGAGCGCUGGAUAAGUCUUCCAUUGACUUCCAAGGGGCUUAAACUUGCUCGAUCAGAAAUCGUAUUAAGACAUUGUUUGAAAUUGUCUAAGUGACUCCAGUGGCUCAACCAUCCAUUUAUCAAGCGACGAGAAUAGUUUUU